GAGUGCGCGGCGCCCGGGGCGGGGCGAUGCUAAAGUCCCGGGAACCAGCCGGAGAACACACCCAGGUUCGCGGCUUCCAAGACCGAAAUUCGGUCGUUCCUUCUUCGGAAGCGCCGAACAAAGCCGGAGGAGUCGAAGAAUCUUGACGCCUACCUCGAGAUGAAUGCGGAUGUGUUGAUUCCUCGGGCACCCAUUUUCUCAGCGUUCUUCGUCUGGGUCGGUGGCGACGGUUGUCGAGUGAACUCCUAAGGAGUGUGCUCCAAACUUUGGGUUUGCGCCGCAGACUUGUGAUCUCGAAAGGCCGUUUCGUACCGUCCAGUCGAUCGCAUCCCGUUUGUCUCCUCUGUGAUUGUUACCUGUUAUGCCGGAAUUCUUAUGCAACCGAAGGGUGCGCGUUAAAAUGCUUGCUUGCUGUCCCCAUGGGCCAAUUUUCUGGAACCCUGGUAGAAAGGAAAGUUUAAGUUUUGAUGAUCCGGGACUCUUGUACACACUUCAGAGCGAGUACUAUCGGGGCGCUGACCGACUCCGCUGUACUUGGGGAGAGGAAGUUGUGUGGAAGGGGAUCCCCCCCUACUUACCCCAACCCCAUAGUCUGUACAGUCGAUACAGUCAAUUUGUGGGUUUUGUUUCCGUUCACGCGUGCUAGUGACAGGAAGGCACAAAGAAAAUAAACUUGAGUUUCUGAUCCUAGGGGAAGUCUUAUAACAGUUUCUGAUACCAGGGAGGUCUAUUUUCCUACCACACCUAGUAGAAUUGUUAAGAACUAAGUAUGCUAGGAAAAAAGGUCCUAGGGAUAGCAAGAUUCUAAAUCUAAAAGCAUUUUUUAUAGAUGCUUCUUUUAACAGUUUCAGUUUCUUGAAUUAUACCUAAUAGGGGGUAGGGGUGUGGCUUGAUUGACAGCUCUUCUCUAGCAAGUGGGAGAUCUGGGUUCCCUCCCCAGAACCACAAAAACAAAGCUUAAAAAAGGGACACUAUAAAAGAGUAGGGUGAUGUUUUCCACAGUUGCAUUGUGAUACUUACAUAACUUUUGGCAAUUUACUUAAAAAAAAAAAUCCUUGAAUCAAACACUGAAAAGUCAAGGAGUCUGCUUUUUAAAGAGCAGUAUGAGGCUUGGUGCUGUGACACUCCCCUGUAGUCCCCGAUAUGCAAAAUCAGGGCUGCUAAAGCAAUACAGCUAGGUCAUCUCAGUCGAUGCUUAAAUGCAUAAAACCCGGUUGGCUCCCCAGUGAGAAAAACCGAGUGUGGGUGGUGCAUGCCUGUGAUUCCACCAGGGAGGUCGAAGCAGGAGGUCAGGCAUUCAAGAUCUGCCUGGUACACAUGAAACCCUCUCAAAGAAGGCCAAAACUGAGACUCCAGGAACUACCCCAUAACUUUCUCUUUGCCUUAUGGAGUUUUGUAACACAUUGCCUCUUAAAGAACCUGCUUUCAUCUUUGUAGAUGUUCACUAUACUUAAGGAUGUAUGAUUCUCCUUAGUAAUUACUGAAGCCUUGACUAAUAGUGUGAAGCUGGGCUUGGUGGUACGGGCCUUGGUGCCGGCGUUCAGGAGAUUAGUGCCAGGUGGAUCUGAGUUCCAAGCAACCCUCAUCAAUUUAGAGAGUUCCAAAACUUCCGAGUGAGACACUGCCUCAAAAACAAAUGAGAGUUGACUGUGAUGUCCUUAAACAGCUUGAUGGUGUUAGUUUUAAUGACUUUAUUAAAGGGUGGGUAAAGCUCUCACCAGGUGUUCUACACACUGGUUGAGAACAGUAUUUCUCGCUGAAGUGUUUUUGUAGAGGUUUGGGGAUUAUUCUUUGCAUGGUCUCAUGUAGCUUGGGCUGGCUUUCGUCAAGGAUGACUUUGAAAUAUUGAUCUGCCAGCUUCCAAUUUGAAUUCCUAGUCCUCUAGCCACCGCCUAUGUGCUAGGAUUGUAAGGCAUGAGCCAGACUUAAUAACUUUUUAAAAAAUAUUUUUUAUUCAUAUGUGUGUGGUCUGUGUGGUGCUAAGUGCAUGUGAGUACUGGUACUGGCAGAAGCCAUAGGUGUCAGAUACACACACACACACCAGCUGGAGAACCACCUGUCGUCAAAUUCAGGUCCUCUGGUAGAAGAGUAGUUUAUGCUCUUUAAAAGCUAAGCCAGCAUAUUUUUGAGAUUUCUUUUUUCUUCUGUUUCCCCUGGGUUGGUCUGUUGGUCAUUUGGUUUGCCAAUAACCCAGGCAGUCCUAGAACUCACUAUAUAACUCAAACUGACCUUAAAUUGUCAAUGGUCCUUUUACCUCUGCCCUCCAAGUACUGGUACUAGAGGUGUAAGCCCAUGCCCAACCUUUUGGGCUUUUGAGGUAGGGGUCUCACUGUGUGCCCUUCUUAGGCCUUGAAUGUUACACUGCUUCCAUCUCCAUGAUUACAGACUUGCCAUCACAGCCCGCUUUAAAGAUUUUGAAUAUAUUAAAUAUUAAUUGUAAACCUAUCCUUUUAUAUCUUAACCUUCAAAAGAUUUGUGACCCAAAGUUUUUAAAAAUAUGUCUCUUCCAACAAAAUAUUUUAUUAGAGUAAAAUUUUGGGCAUCUUAUUGGUUCAUAAUAAAUUAUGAGCAUUUAAUUUA
rnacentral:lncRNA from 1 species